UCAUAGAAUUUCUUUAAAUUCAUGAUGUCGUAAGGGAAAAUAAUGAUAUUACCUUACUAUGAGUGUCGUCCAAAACUGGUGCCAGAAGACUCGGUAAGACCAGAGACGCAAACGUUAAUCAUCAUAAGCAGGCGUAAAGGGUUUGUAGGCAGCUUUUAUAGGUUUAUGAUUGCAAAAAAAUAAAUGGAAAUCUAAAUCAAAAGCUAGAAUCAAGAAGAGGUUAUAGUGUAUAACGCUUAGAGGAGGGCUGAUAUCCAUAGAUCCUAGGCAGAAUACUUAGGGCGAAGGCCACUCUCCACUAAUGAUUGACGCUGAGAAACGAAGGUAAGGGUAGGAAAUAGGAUUAGAUACCCCGGUACUCCUUUCUGUAAACGAUGAAUGGCAGUCAUUAGUAAAAUUAAAAAUUACUAGAGACGAAGUUAACACAAUAACCAUUCCGCCUUGUGAGUACUACUGCAAAGUAGAAAACAAAAAAAUUAGUCGGUCUCGAAGCAAACGGAGUGAAGCAUGUUAUUUA
rnacentral:rRNA from 1 species